GGACAGUUGAGAGAUGCAUAUAGCAUCGUUUCGAUGCCUUUUGACUAAAUUCCGAAUGCGGUUUUCUUAUCUUUGGUUCAUCUUCGCUCGUGUUGUAGCUUGGCAUGGUCGCCGCCAUAUUGUUUGUUUAUCAAAGCGCAUAGCAACAGUCCUCGUCUCCUAUUGGUGCACGUGACCUAAAAUGGCUUCACACACUGACGAUACGACUCCGCCGUAUCAAUAUCACUGCGCCACGGGGGAAAAAAAGACCGACACGAAAACGCUAAUUACUAAAAAAUGACUGGAAACCACAUGCGAUGUGGACGAUAAUUACCAACACAACGAGUAGAGAAUUCCUAACACAGCUCCAGUUGCUCUGAAGGGCGUUGACAGACAGGCAAAAAAAGGAAAGUUCACAAGUCCCACUUCCAAAGCACCAACCAGCUUCUAAAUGCACAUUUCUCCAUGUGGUCGUCCUUCAGUCAACUCAGCAGACUGAUGCUGCAUUCCAGGAAGGUGGGAAGUCGGGAGGUUUCAACCUCCGACCUGGAACGCCACUCGACCAGGGAGGUAGUCAUGAAGUUGAAGAAAAAGUACCCAGACAAUGGCAGACAUCAUGAGUUGCUUCAAUCUGAUGUCACUCGACAAAAUUGCGCUGCCCAUCAAAAAGCAGACCAUCAAAAGUAAAACUAAAGAAGGCUGUCUACAGCGUGUGCCAUCUAACCCCGGCCGUCGUUUUUCCUCCACUAUUUGAUCGCUUA